AUAUAAAAUAUAUUUUGAUUUGUUGAACUUUUUUUUGUUAACUACAUGAUUCCAUAUGUGUUAGUUCAUAUUUUUGAUGUCUUCACUAUUAUUCUACAGAGUAGAACAUGUUACAAAUAUAGAAAACCCCUGGAAUGAGGAGGUGUGUCCAAACUGUUGACUGGUACUGUAUAUGUAUGUAUAUGAUGGUGUGUAUAGAUGUUAUGGACAGUAUAUGUGAGUAGAGAAGGUGUGUACAGCAGUAGUUAAAAACGAUGAGCUAUGACUAGAAUGCAGUAUAUACAUAUGAAGUGGGUAAAACAUGUAAACAUUAUUGAAGUGUCCAGUGAUUAAUGCUUGAAGGGCACUAUGGCGUUAACGGCUAAGCUGUAGUCCAUGAACAGCAUUCUGACAGUUAUUCCUCUUGUCCAGAUGGGAUAGGGCAGUGCCAUGGCGAUUAUGUCAUCCGUGGAUCUGUUUUUAUUAUUUAACUAGGCAAGUCAGUUAAGAACAAUUUCUUAUUUACAAUGACGGCCUACCGGGGAACAGUGCCUUGUUCAAGGGCAGAACGACAGAUUUUUACCUUGUCAGCUCGGGGAUUCCAUUUAGCAACCUUUCAGUUACUGGCCCAAUGCUCUAAUCACUAGGCUACCUGUGGCUCUACGGUGUUUGGUAAGGUGGAGUUGAUAUGAUCCUUAACUAGCCUCUCAAAGCAUUUUAUGAUGACAGAAGUGAGUGCUAUGGGGCAAUAGUCAUUUAGUUCAGUUUCCUUCGCUUUCUUUGGUACCGGAACAAUGGUGGACACCUUGAAGCAAGUGGGGACAACAGACUGGAAUAGGGAGAGAUUGAACAUGUCCGUAAGCACUCCAGCCAGCUAGUCUGAACAUGCUUUGAGGUUACGGCCAUCUGGGCCAGCAGCCUUAAGUGGGUUAAAUGCCAUGUCUGACACGGAGAAAGAGAGCUCAUACUCCUCGGUGGCCCACAUCAACGGCACUGUGUUUUCCUUGAAGAGGGAGCAGGUGUUUAGCUUGUCCGGGAGUAAGGUGUCAGUGACCGACAUGGCUGGAGACCCUAUCACAUAUGUUUUCAGUUUUGUGCAAAUGCUGCCGUCUCCACGGUUAUUUGUUUUGGAUACGUUCUAAUCGUAACAGUGGUAACCUCUAUGCACUUCCUGGUGAACCCAGUCAGCAAGUCAGUUUAUAUGUCAUUGAACCCAGUCACCAAGUGUAUACGUCAACGUUGUUAGAUUGGUCAGACCAAUGUCGAACAAUCGCAGUCAGGUACAGGUACUUCCUGUUUAAGUUUCUACCUAUAGGAAGGGAGGAGCAGAAGGGCGGCGUGAUCUGAUUUGCCAAAGGCAGGGCGUGGGAGGGACUUGCAACCGUCCUGGGAGGGAGAGAUGGAAUAAAUAAACAUACAGUCAAUAACACAAUAGUAAAAGUCUAUAUACAGUGUGUGUAAAUGAGGUAAGGAAAUAAAUAGCCCAUAGUGGCGAAAUAAUUACAAUUUAGCAAUUAAACACUGGAGUGAUAGAUGAGCAGAAGAUGACUGUGCAAGUAGAGAUACUGGGGUGCAAAGGAGCAAAAAAAUAAAUAACAAUAUGGGGAUGAGGUAUUUGGGUGGGCAAUUUACAGAUGGGCUAUGUACAGGUGCAAUGAUCUGUAAGCUGCUCUGACAGCUGAUGUCUAUAGUUAGUGAGGGAGAUAUGAGGCAGCAGAGAACUGGAAGGAGAGGCGGCCAAAGGCGGAAUUGGCUUUUGGAGUGACCAGUGAGAUAUACCUGCUGGAGCGCGUGCUACGGGUGGGUGCUGCUAUGGUGACCAGUGAGCUGAGAUAAGGUGGACUCUUUACCUAGCAAAGACUUAUAGAUGACCUGAAGCCAGUGGGUUUGGUGACGAAUAUGAAGCGAAGGCCAGCCAACGAGAGCAUACAGGUCGCGGUGGUGGGUAGUAUAUGGGGCUUUGGUGACAAAACAGAUGACACUGUGAUCGACUGCAUCCAAUUUGUUGGAGGCUAUUUUAUAGAUGACAUCGCCAAAGUCAAGGAUCAGUUGGAUUGUCAGUUUUACCAGGGUAUGUUUGGCAUCAUGAGUGAAGGAUGCUUUGUUGCGAAAUAGGAAGCAGAUUCUAGAUUUAAUUUUGGAUUGGAGAUGCUUAAUGUGAGUCUGGAAGGAGAGUUUACAGUCUAGCCAGACACCUAGGUAUUUGUAGUUGUCCACAUAUUCUAAGUCAGAACCGUCCAGAGUAGUGAUGCUGGACGGGAGGGCUUUUAGUUUUACUUGCAUUUAAAAGCAGUUGGAGGCCACGGAAGGAGUGUUGUACUGAAGCUCGUCUGGAGGUUGGUUAACAGUGUCCAAAGACGGACCAAAAGUAUACAGAAUGGUGUCGUUCCAGUGUAAUUCCUUGAGCCGUCACAGUCUCAGCUUGAGGGGGAAUAUGAUGUUACUGAUGCCUCUGGAAGGAGAGCCCUGAUCUCGUCUUAAGUUAUUGUCCAGGGACUGAACAUUAGGAAGUAAUAUUUCAGGGAAGUCUUAUUUGUGAUGGAAAUGCGGGUGAGUCAUCUAAUAACUAAAAGUAAGUUUUUGGCAGUAGGUAAUAAUACAAGAAACCUUCUGAGAAAAUAAUGUAAGAUAUAACACACAAAAACAACUAUACUGUAAAGUUGGCUAGGAGCUAGAAGCAGGGUGACCAUGUCUGUUGGCGCCAUCUUAUUUAUGACUUUGUGGUUGUGGUAACUAGUGAAGACCAGGCACAACUCUGAUAUAAAUGUUGCUGGAAUGCCAUGUGCCCUACUUAUAUCAGUACACUCAUAACGACCUAAUCAUUUCAAAACGCGUUAGAAGAAAUAAGCCAUUAAAUAUGUUAACCAAAUUCACCACUCAUUGACCUCCAUACAAAAACUCCUUUCUUGGUGAGCGACAAAUACAUAAAAACGCCCCCUGCUGGAGAAGUCUGACUUUAGGCCCUGUUAUCUCUCUUGCUUCAAGUCUUCCUCCUUUUGUGUCCCAAAUGCACCCUAUUCCUUACACUUAUAUAGUGCACGACCAGGGCGCUUGGCUCAAAUCAAAAGGAGUGCACUAUACAGGGAAUAGCGUGCCAUUUGGGAUCAUUCCUUAGCCUGAUAGAUCUAACGCCUGGAUAUGUAUUCUAAGUAUCAGCUCACAUACACUAUAUAUACAAAAGUAUGUGGACACCCCUUUAAAUGAGUGGAUUUGGCUAUUUCAGCCACACCCGUUGCUGACACGUCGAUCACACAGCCAUGCAUUCUCCAUAGACAAACACUGGCAGUAGAAUGACCUUCCUGAAGAGCUCAGUGACUUUCAACAUGGCACCAUCAUAGGAUACCACCUUUCCAACAAGUCGGUUCGUCAAAUUUGUGCCCUGCUAGAGCUGCCUUUGUCAAUUGUAAAUGCUGAGCCGCAACAACGGCUCAGCUGUGAAGUGGUAAGCCACUUCAGCUCACCGAACGGGACCGCCGAGUGCUGAAGCACAUAGAGCGUAAAAAUUCUGUCCUCGGUUGCAACACUCACUACAGAGUUCCAAACUGCCUCUGGAAGCAACAUCAGCACAAUAACUUCGGCUGGAGCUUCAUGGAAUUGGUUUCCAUGGCAGAGCAGCCGCACACAAGCCUAAGAUCACCAUGUGCAAUGUCAAGCGUCGACUGGAGUGGUGUAAAGGUCACGGGACAUUGGACUCUGGAGCAGUGGAAACACAUUCUUUGGAGUGAUAAAUCACGCUUCACUAUCAGGCAGUCCAAUCAACAAAGCUGGGUUUGGCAGAUGCCAGAAGAACGCUACCUGCCCGAAUGCAUAGUGCCAACUGUAAAGUUUGGUGGAGAAGGAAUAAUGGUCUGGGGCUGUUUUUCAUGGUCCGGGCUAGGCCCCUUAGUUCCAGUGAAGGGAAAUCUUAACGCUACAGCAUACAAUGACAUUCUAGACGAUUCUGUUCUUCCAACUUUGUUGCAACAGUUUUGGGGAAGGCCCUUUACUUUUUCAGCAUGAUCAAACAACGUUGGGAUGGAACGCUGACUGUGAGCCAGGCCUAAUCGCCCAACAUCAGUGCCCAACCUCACUAAUGCUCUUGUAGCUUAAUGGAAGCAAGUCCCCUGCAGCAAUGUUAAAAUAUCUAGUGGAAAGCCUUUGCCAGAAGAGUGGAGGCUGUUAUAGCAGCAAAUACCCAUGAUUUUGGAUUGAGAUGUUCGACGAGCAGGUGUCCACAUACUUUUGGUCAUGUAGUGUAGGUUAUAGCAAUUUGUCAGUCCAUGACACAGUCCAUGACACAGUCCAUGACACAGUCCAUGACACAGUCCAUGACACAGUCCAUGACACAGUCCAUGACACAGUCCAUGACGUGACACAAACACUGAUUGUUGCCUCGCCUUAGCUAUGGAACGUGCCUCGAGUUUCAUCAGGCUUCUUGCCACGUUUAAAAGAACUGGGGACUUGAAAUUAGGGAAACAUUUUUGAACGGUCAUUCAAUUCGUAUUUCCAAGCAGUAAACUUUCAGGAGCUCGGACUUUCCGACCUGAAGAUCACGGACGCCCUGAUUUGACCUUUUAUUCCUGAGUUCCCAAUUGUCUGGAAAGCACCAUUAUACCCAUAUCUAGCGAUGACUUCACUGGUGACGUCAUUACCGGUAUCUAGUGGUGACGUCAUUACCGGCGUCUAGUGGUGACGUCAUUACCGGCGUCUAGUGGUGACGUCACUACCGGCGUCUAGUGGUGACGUCACUACCGGCAUCCAGUGGUGACGUCACUACCGGCAUCCAGUGGUGACGUCACUACCGGCAUCCAGUGGUGACGUCACUACCGGCAUCCAGUGGUGACUUCACUUCCCACUGUUUGUUUAUCAAUGGGUGGAUUUGAUUAUGCUAAACCACGUGGCACCAGUCUAUGGUCCUCUUUCACCGCGAAUGAAGCACCCUUCUCAAGUCCAACAGUAAUCUACGAAUCCAACAGUAAUCUACGAAUCCAACAGUAAUCUACGAAUCCAACAGUAAUCUACGAAUCCAACAGUAAUCUACGAAUCCAACAGUAAUCUACGAAUCCAACAGUAAUCUACGAAUCCAACAAUAAUCUACGCAGCUCUGUGAUUUUGUCAACAAGGCAGCAUGGUGUAUCAUACAUCUCUUUUCCAUAAAGUAUGUUUUGUUCAUUGGGAAGACAGAAAGCGUUUUAUUUUCAAUCAAAAGCAAUCCCUUUUGCCUGUGAAACCACAGAAUCCUAGUAAUUACAACACGUGCUUAAUUACAUCACUUUUGUUUCGAGCAGAUGUCGCCUGUGGUUUUAAACGAUAAGGGUCUUGUCCGUCUGAACGUCUGGGAGACCAGGUAGGGUCUAGUCCAUCUGAAGGUCUCGGAGACCAGGUAGGGUCUAGUCCAUCUGAAGGUCUCGGAGACCAGGUAGGGUCUAGUCCAUCUGAAGGCUCCCUAUGUAGUGCACUACUUUAGCUCUAUGGGGCAACCUAUGUGUCUGGAAUUUGGGUAUAGAAAGGGAUUUGAGGUCCAUUGGACCCUCUCUACUAAUGAUCCUGGUCAUCAAGUCUCCUCCAUCACUGCAGAUUGCUAACGACUCUGGAUGAAACCGUUAAUCUGUGACUCUGUCUGUCCAGAGCUCUUUAUUGUAAUUUACAGCUGUGAGUUUGUCUGUCAUGUGACGCGGCUGCAGAGCACCUGAUUAUUAUGAUGAUGAUGUAAAGAAACAAAGGCCUGUCCAAAUUAAUAAAAUGUUUGUUUAACCUUUC